GUGGAUGUUGGGUGGAAGAGUGGCCAUCACUUGGAAGUGUCCUUCACCAAAGCAUGUUCUUCCUCAGCCUUGCCAUUGUUUUCUAUUUAUUUUUGUAAGUGAAUAAGUAGAUGUUAAAAUGGCCUUGCUUUGUUACACUAAAACGUCUAGGUGGCUGUGUUCAGACCAAAAGCAGGGACCCUGGACAUUAGCAACUGCAAAUGGAGUUACUGCCCUGUGCUGUCAUGUGUUGCCACCAAAUGUGAUGGAGGAGAAGCCACAGAUGCCUUCAGCUGAAAGAGAAGGUAGACUCCUGCAUGGUGUGUUUGCUGCUACUUCUGUGCUAGAAGUUUCCACAGAGGGCUGAGAGUGAUGCCUCCAGGGGAAGGUGAGGGACUUGAAGACCAGUUCCUGGUGAGACGAUGUCCUGAGCAGAGUACCAACCAGGAAUACCCUCUUCAGAAAUGUUGGGCUGAUUGAAGGGUAAAUGUGGGGAGAUGAAGAGCAAUCACUACUGGGCUGCAAAGAAGGAAUGUAAAGAGUA
rnacentral:lncRNA from 1 species